AUCCGGGUCCUUCCCACUUGGGCCAAGGGUGGGCUCUGAGGGGAGGGAGCCUGGCGUCACUUGGCCAAUGGGGGCGGGGAGAGGCGUCAAGUCAACCCCCCCUCAGCGCGUGCGCCCCACCACCCCUAGGGGUCUCUGGUGGGGGGGGCUGAUGUGGGAGAUGUCAAAUCACUCCCUCCCCCCAUCAUGCCCACCCUUGGGGGGUGACGUCAGCUCACUCCCCCUCCAGCAUGUGACCCCUCACCCCAGGUGGGUGAUGUCAUCCCCUCCUUGGUGAUGUCAUCUCUUAUUGGAGGGGUGACAUCACCCCCUGUCCUUGGCCAUGGGAAGAGUAGGGUGUAGUGAUUAGAGUGGGGGUGUGGGAGCAGGCUGGGAGCCAGGACUCCUGGGUUCCAUCCCUAACUCUGGGAGGGAAGUGGUGUCUAGUGGGUUAGAGUGGGGGAGGGGGGCUCUCGGAGGCAAGUGGGGCAGGAGAUCAGGCAUCAUCAGGAACCGUCCCUCCUUUCUGCUCAGUCCCCCUCUCUAACGCAGGGACAGGAAAUCCUCAAGCAGCGGCAUUUCAUUGCCUACGGUCCAGAGAUGAAGGACCUUGCCCUCAUGACCUGCUACAUCAUGUGAGGCUCCAAGGGCUAGCCCCAAGAGCUGGGGCUGGCUGUUCGUCAAAAGGCUUUGAAUGCUCUUGGGAGAAACCAGAGAUUCACGAGGCACCCGGGAUUGAUGUGAUCGCCUGCGGCCUUGACUCAUCACUGCUCAUCUCUGUUGGAGCACGGAGACUUGACGGGGGCUGUCGGGUCGAAUCAGCAGCAGAUAGGCAGAGGUGUCCCUUCCUGGAGAUCUCUGAACACCUGUCACCAUGAGGCCUGGUGGCUGAUCAUUUUGGAGGCUGGCAUCCCAACAGCUUGUCUGGUCCUGACAUCUUCAGCCCCUGAAAUGCCUACGUGUCUGGCUCUUCCACUCUCCACCUCUCUCUGCCAUAUAAAAUGCCAGCGAUGCCACUGACCUACCUACCAGCAGAUACUGUAAAUAUCUCUGGUGGAAAGUCCUGUACAGGCAAAAUCUGAGCCUCAAGUAUUAACGGAUUCAGACAGCAAGGUUAAGUCUGUGUACUAAUGAACUAGUUAAAAAUACCCCUCAAACCCAUGACCUCUUUCUCUGCGACUCCCAAUGAAAAGCCUAUUGCUGUGGUGGUGUUGCCAAAUUAUCUGCCAACCCUUAUCCUUUACCAUUGCGCAAGUUAGCAGCCCGAUCUGCAGGCAGAAUUCCUGUCUGGCCCCAGUUCCGGAGUGCUGCAUGUGACUAUAUUGCAUGAGGCGAGGGUUUCAGAUAAAGAGGCUGGCUUCUUGGUGCUCUCUGCUAUUGUAGCAUUUCUGUGAAAUGAAUUUAAAUAUUGAAGGGUUGGAAAUAGAGAAUGUCUGCAUCUGUUGUCUUUAAUAUUUGACUACUGUAACUUAUAUUUAAUUUUAAUAAAACCUGAGAUGUCAACGUUUAUUAGGUUGCC
rnacentral:lncRNA from 1 species